rnacentral:rRNA from 1 species
UACAGAGGUGGCAAGCGUUGUUCGGAAUUACUGGGCGUAAAGGGCGCGUAGGCGGCCUUCUAAGUCAGACGUGAAAUCCCCCGGCUUAACCUGGGAACUGCGUCUGAUACUGGGAGGCUUGAGUAUGGGAGAGGGAUGUAGAAUUCCAGGUGUAGCGGUGAAAUGCGUAGAUAUCUGGAGGAAUACCGGUGGCGAAGGCGGCAUCCUGGACCGGCAUUGACGCUGAGGCGCGAAAGCUAGGGGAGCAAACGGG